UACGGAAGGCAGCAGUGGGGAAUAUUGGACAAUGGGCGCAAGCCUGAUCCAGCCAUGCCGCGUGUGUGAAGAAGGCCUUUUGGUUGUAAAGCACUUUAAGCGAGGAGGAGGCUCUCUUAGUUAAUACCUAAGAUGAGUGGACGUUACUCGCAGAAUAAGCACCGGCUAACUCUGUGCCAGCAGCCGCGGUAAUACAGAGGGUGCGAGCGUUAAUCGGAUUUUACUGGGCGUAAAGCGUGCGUAGGCGGCUUUUUUAAGUCGGAUGUGAAAUCCCCGAGCUUAACUUGGGAAUUGCAUUCGAUACUGGGAAGCUAGAGUAUGGGAGAGGAUGGUAGAAUUCCAGGUGUAGCGGUGAAAUGCGUAGAGAUCUGGAGGAAUACCGAUGGGCGAAGGGCAGCCAUCUGGGCCUAAUACUGACGCUGAGGUACGAAAGCAUGGGGAGGCAAACAGGAUUAGAUACC
rnacentral:rRNA from 1 species